ensembl:lncRNA
GGGCUGGGCUGCUGUUUACUCCUUAGCAAGCAGUCAGAUAAACUGGAUUGCACCUGGAAUCUGAAAGGGACACUAGAAAGGCCCUAUGCCUUCUCUCCAAAUGCAAAUUCCACUGGGAGGGUGAAGUCUCAAAUCUCCAUUUCUCCACUCACAGGUUGUUGUGAGGAUCAGACAACCAAAUACAUUGGAUAAUUAUUUCGUGGAAUUGUGGAAGGGCACAGAUGACAGUAGGACGGGGCUACAGAGUAUCUGUGGCUCAGAAAUCUGUGGAUGGCUUAUCUUGGUUCUCUGGCUCAGAGUAUCUCACAAGUCUGCAAGCAAGGUGAUGGCCAGGACCACUGUCACUGGGACAGGAUGUGCCUCCAAGCUUACUCAGUGAUUGUUGGCAGGAUUCAGCUCCUUGAGGGCCAUUGGACUGAGGAUCUCAGUUCCUCACCAGCUGUUGGCCAGAGGAUGCCCUCUCUUCCUUGCCCCAUGGGCCUCGCCAUAGAGCAGCUCACAACACAGAAGCUGGCUUUAUGAAUGUGAACAAGUGAAAGAGAGUAAGAGAGAGGGAGUGUGCAAACAAUGGAAAUCCCAGUCUUUUAUAACCUAAUCUCAGAAGUGACAUUGCUUCUUUUUUGUUGUUUUCUAUUAGUUGGAAACAAA